GACGAACGCUGGCGGCGUGCUUAACACAUGCAAGUCGAACGGAAAGGCCCUGCUUUUGUGGGGUGCUCGAGUGGCGAACGGGUGAGUAACACGUGAGUAACCUGCCCUUGACUUUGGGAUAACUUCAGGAAACUGGGGCUAAUACCGGAUAGGAGCUCCUGCUGCAUGGUGGGGGUUGGAAAGUUUCGGCGGUUGGGGAUGGACUCGCGGCUUAUCAGCUUGUUGGUGGGGUAGUGGCUUACCAAGGCUUUGACGGGUAGCCGGCCUGAGAGGGUGACCGGCGACAUUGGGACUGAGAUACGGACCAGACUGCUACGGGAGGCAGUAGUGGGGAAUAUUGCACAAUGGGCGGAAGCCUGAUGCAGCAACGCCGCGUGCGGGAUGACGGCCUUCGGGUUGUAAACCGAUUUGGCAUGUGACGAAGCGUGAGUGACGGUAAUGGGUAAAGAAGCAACGGCUAACUACGUG
rnacentral:rRNA from 1 species